UAAAUAUUUAUGUGCUAAACACUUGCUGAAGUGCUAACAAAUGAUGUCAUUUUCUUACUUUAUAUACUAUUACUAACAUAAUUUUAAAAUGACAUGCCUUUUUAGUGCUAAACAUGCAUCACAAGUUCAAACAUUCACAGAUAACACUAUUUUUUCUCCAAAUAAUAAUAAGGGUUAAUGGUGUUUUACCCCCUGUAAUAUAGGUCAUUUUUUGUUUUCCCCCUGUAAAAUAUUUUUUUUUUACGACUUUUUUUUUUUUUUUUUUGCAGAAUUUUUUCUUUAUUACCUAUUAGGUAGGGGGUAUUCCAAAAAAAAUAAAAAUUUACAGGGGGUAAAUCAAAAAAAAUAUUUUACAGGGAGUAAACAAAAAAUGACCUAUAUUACAGGGGGGUAAAACACCAUUAACCCUAAUAAUAACAAUGAGCAGAAGAAAAUACAAAUCUUGCAUAUGCUCCAAGAACCUCCAUUAGAUGAAAUACACUUCACAGGAAAAUGUCAUGGAAGAUUAAAAAGCACUGUCUAUCCCCUGUUAGGAAGGAAGGCUUGUAGAA
rnacentral:lncRNA from 1 species